rnacentral:rRNA from 1 species
CCUACGGGUGGCAGCAGUGAGGAAUAUUGGUCAAUGGGCGCGAGCCUGAACCCGCCAAGUAGCGUGAAGGAUGACUGCCCUACGGGUUUUAAACUUCUUUUAUAAAGGCAUAAAGUGAGGCACGUGUGCCUUUUUGUAUGUACUUUAUGAAUAAGGAUCGGCUAACUCCGUGCCAGCAGCGGCGGUAAUCCGGAGGAUCCGAGCGUUAUCCGGAUUGAUUGGGUUUAAAGGGAGCGUAGAUGGGUUGUUAAGUCAGUUGUGAAAGGUUGCGGCUCAAACGUAAAAUUGCAAUUGAUACUGGCAGCCGUGAGUACAGUUGAGGGAGGCGGAAUUCGUGGUGUAGCGGUGAAAUGCUUAGAUAUCACGAAGAACUCCGAUUGCGAAGGCAGCCUACUAAACUGCCACUGACAUUGAUGCUCGAAAGUGUGGGUAUCAAACAGGAUUAGAUACCCCUGUAGUC